rnacentral:rRNA from 1 species
GGAAUUACUGGGCGUAAAGCGAGCGCAGACGGUUACUUAAGCAGGAUGUGAAAUCCCCGGGCUCAACCUGGGAACUGCGUUCUGAACUGGGUGACUAGAGUGUGUCAGAGGGAGGUAGAAUUCCACGUGUAGCAGUGAAAUGCGUAGAGAUGUGGAGGAAUACCGAUGGCGAAGGCAGCCUCCUGGGAUAACACUGACGUUCAUGCUCGAAAGCGUGGGUAGCAAACAGGAUUAGAUACCCUGGUAGUCAAGGGCG